rnacentral:lncRNA from 1 species
GGCAAUAUGCAAAUUGCCAAUACAAGCGCCACCUCACUGUCCAUUGUGUGCUAGCCAAAGAGGAGACAGCAGACCCUAUUUUUGUUACAUGUGAGUUGUGACGGCCAAUCUCUAAGUACAUCUGAGUUCGAUGACGAAUGACCUGCAAAAUAAAUUCAUAUUGAUCGAAACGGUAUCCGACAGAAAUCCUCUGAUGUCUAAGUCAGCAG